UACGUAGGGUGCGAGCGUUUAAUCGGAAUUACUGGGCGUAAAGCGUGCGCAGGCGGUUUUGUUAAGUCAGAUGUGAAAUCCCCGGGCUCAACCUGGGAACUGCGUUUGAAACUACAAGGCUAGAGUGUAGCAGAGGGGGGUAGAAUUCCACGUGUAGCAGUGAAAUGCGUAGAGAUGUGGAGGAAUACCAAUGGCGAAGGCAGCCCCCUGGGUUAACACUGGACGCUCAUGCACGAAAGCGUGGGGAG
rnacentral:rRNA from 1 species